rnacentral:rRNA from 1 species
CAGCACCUCAAGUGGUCAGGAUGAUUAUUGGGCCUAAAGCAUCCGUAGCCGGCGCUGUAAGUUUUCGGUUAAAUCUGUACGCUCAACGUGCAGGCUGCCGGGAAUACUGCAGCGCUAGGGAGUGGGAGAGGUAGACGGUACUCGGUAGGAAGGGGUAAAAUCCUUUGAUCUAUUGAUGACCACCUGUGGCGAAGGCGGUCUACCAGAACACGUCCGACGGUGAGGGAUGAAAGCUGGGGGAGCAAACCGGAUUAGAGACCCGUGUAGUCC